CGAACGGGUGAGUAACACGUGGGUAACGUGCCCUGAACUCUGGGAUAACAGUGGGAAACCGCUGCUAAUACCGGAUAACCCUUUCUUGUCGCAUGACGAGAUAGGCAAAGAAUUUCGGUUCGGGAUCGGCCCGCGGCUUAUCAGCUUGUUGGUGGGGUAACGGCCUACCAAGGCUUUGACGAGUAGCUGGCGUGAGAGCGUGGCCAGCCACACUGGGACUGAGACACGGCCCAG
rnacentral:rRNA from 1 species